GCCGUGGAUGCCGGUACACUCUUAAUCUUGGCUGAAAUGGAGGAAACGUCGUCGCGCAAUAGCGCUGUCUUCAUUUGAGGGAUGCUACAUCAUGAAUGGCACGCUGUUUGAUGCUUCUAAACAUCCCAAAGGAACUGGAUUUACAAGCGAACUGGUUUUGUUUUGUAAGAAUUGGUCCCAUAGGAACUCAAACUAAAAACAAUGGGGGUUUUGUAUUUUUAACAAUUGCCACUGUUUAUCUGCGUGGUCGAUGUGCUCUUAAUGUACAAUAAAGCAUGUGGGUUGGCUGACAUGGGAAAGGGGAAAUGUUAGUUUAGCUGUGGUGCAUUGUUUGGUAUGACUAAUUUGUCAUAGUGCUUUAAAAUCCUUUUGUGUUCUGUUUCUUUGAAUGUUAAAAAAAAAUAAAAAAAUAAAAUACA